UCUGUUUUUAAAAUUAAUCUUAAGCAUCCAAUGAUAUAGCAGCAAAAAGUAAACAUAAAAGAAAAAAAAUUCUAUUGGCCAAUACACUUUUCACAUGGAUCACCAUUCCAGCCGUUAGAUUGAGUUUCAAUCAAUGGACAAUUUUUUUUUUGUUUUCUUUCUUCUUUCUCCUUCUCUCUUCAGAUCUACGGAUCUCUCAUCUCUCCAUCUUCUGUUCUUUUCUCUUUCAAAGUCCAUCUCCUCCAUAUUUGUUCUCCUCUGUUCUUCAUCAUCUUCUCCAUCUUCUACUCACCACUUUCUUCACCGCUCACCGUACUCUUUUCACCGCCUUGAGUUCGAGUCUGAUUCAAGACAUAUGAGGCACGCUGGCCGUCCCACCACCGCCACUUGGAGGAAAGGCGAGGUGGAAGUGGUGGUGCGGCGGAAGACGGAGUUCCAGUAGAUCUGGAAGAAGCUGGAGAAGAGGAGUCUUCAUGGGGAAGACGACGUCCACAUGGUGAAUCCUCGGAAGCUGCGUCGAAGGAGGCGCACGGAAGCUGUAGCAGAGACGACGGUUGAGGAGGAAUCAAAAGCGGCUGGAGUUUUCUUUUUUUUUAGGUUUAGUGCUUUUUUUUAGGGUUUUCCGGUUUAGUGUAAACCGAAUUGGAUAAACCGUUGUGGUUUACUUUAUUUUUAUUUUUUUCUGGUUUAGUUUUGUAAACCGAAAUUUAUUUAUCAUUAAAUUUAAUUUUUUUUUAAUUAUAAAAAAAUGGGUUUAAUUUUAA